rnacentral:rRNA from 1 species
CCUACGGGAGGCUGCAGUGGGGAAUAUUGCACAAUGGGCGCAAGCCUGAUGCAGCCAUGCCGCGUGUGUGAAGAAGGCCUUCGGGUUGUAAAGCACUUUCAGCGGGGAGGAAGGCGUUAAGGUUAAUAACCUUGGCGAUUGACGUUACCCGCAGAAGAAGCACCGGCUAACUCCGUGCCAGCAGCCGCGGUAAUACGGAGGGUGCAAGCGUUAAUCGGAAUUACUGGGCGUAAAGCGCACGCAGGCGGUCUGUCAAGUCGGAUGUGAAAUCCCCGGGCUCAACCUGGGAACUGCAUUCGAAACUGGCAGGCUAGAGUCUUGUAGGGGGGGGUAGAAUUCCAGGUGUAGCGGUGAAAUGCGUAGAGAUCUGGAGGAAUACCGGUGGCGAAGGCGGCCCCUGGACAAAGACUGACGCUCAGGUGCGAAAGCGUGGGGAGCAAACAGGAUUAGAUACCCGAGUAGUC